GACGAACGCUGGCGGCGUGCUUAACACAUGCAAGUCGAACGGAAAGGCCCUGCUUGCCGGGUGCUCGAGUGGCGAACGGGUGAGUAACACGUGGGUGAUCUGCCCUGCACUUCGGGAUAAGCCUGGGAAACUGGGUCUAAUACCGGAUAGGAGCCAUUUUUAGUGUGAUGGUUGGAAAGUUUUUUCGGUGUAGGAUGAGCUCGCGGCCUAUCAGCUUGUUGGUGGGGUAAUGGCCUACCAAGGCGGCGACGGGUAGCCGGCCUGAGAGGGUGGACGGCCACAUUGGGACUGAGAUACGGCCCAGACUCCUACGGGAGGCAGCAGUGGGGAAUAUUGCACAAUGGGCGCAAGCCUGAUGCAGCGACGCCGCGUGGGGGAUGACGGCCUUCGGGUUGUAAACUCCUUUCGCUAGGGACGAAGCUUUUUGUGACGGUACCUAGAUAAGAAGCACCGGCUAACUACGUG
rnacentral:rRNA from 1 species